AGGUGGCUGUUGAGAGCGGCGAUAAUCCAGAAUGGCUUCUCUGAUCUAUGUUGAUACGGAAAAUGGAGAAACAGGCACUCGUGUGGCUGCUAAGGAUGGGCUGAAGCUGGGGUCUGGACCUUCAGUCAAAGCCUUAAAUGGGAGAUCUCAAGUUGCAACACCACGUUUUGGCAAAACGUUUGAUGCUCCACCAGCCUUACCUAAAGCUACUAGAAAGGCUUUGGGAACUGUCAACAGAGCUACAGAAAAGGCAGUAAAGACCAGUGGACCCCUCAAUCAAAAACAACCAAGGUUUUCUGCCAAAAAGAUCACUGGGAAGACUGUUAAAGCAAAAAGCUCUAUUCUGCCUCAGAUGAUGCCUAUCCAGAAAUAGAAAAAUUAUUUCCCUUCAAUCUUCUAGACUUUGAGAGUUUUGACCUGCCUGAAGAGCACCAGAUUGCACACCUACCCUUGAGUUGAGUGCCUCUUAUGAUCCUUGAUGAGGAGAGAGAGCUUGAAAAGCUGUUUCAGCUGGGCCCCCUUCACCUGUGAAGAUGCCCUCUCCACCAUGGGAAUCCAAUCUGUUGCGGUCUUCUUCAAGCAUUCUGUUGACCCUGGAUAUUGAAUUGCCACCUAUUUGCUAUGACAUUGAUAUUUAAACUUCUUAGUGCUUUAGAGUUUGUAUUAAUAAAACAUUCUUUAACCGAAAAAAAAAAAAAAGAAGCUGGUAUCUUAGACAAGAGUUGGGAAUAGAGAUAAUCAGAAGUUAUUGAAUUUGAGGUAUCCUUUGAUGAAAAAAGUUGCAGGGGGAUAGGGAGGGUACCUAACAGAAUUUGUAGAUAGAUGAAUGUGAGUUGUGAAGGAAAGAGUGAGUGAUCAAGAAUGACUCUUAGAUUUUUCUCCAGCAUAAUUAGGUGCAUAGUGACUUCGGGAGGAAGUUUAGAUGGGAAAAAAUCAGUUUUUCGCUUGUAAUUGAAUUCGUUACCACAUCUCCUUUGUUGUGGGGGUUGUUCCACUGGAAAAAGGAAAAAGCUAUUUGUUUCUUUGAGUUAGGCACUAAGCCAAAAUCAUAAUUUAUGAUGAGAUGUGUUGAACAUUUUUGGAUUGUGGUCUUUACAUAGCAUAUUUAUACUCUGUAGAGGGUUCAUGCUGUGGUUUACAAUUUAUGCAUGGGAUUAAGACAGAAUACCCAGUGAACUUACAAUAGGGCACAAAGGUAUUACAAAAUAACUACACAAGGUUAUAAAUGGAAAUCUCUUUUUAAUGUAAUACAUAUACUUUAAACUUUUAAAAAAAGCUUCUACUUCUAAGUUUCUGCUCAGUUUCAUGUCUU